UGUAUAGACUCUUGAUAAAGGGAUCUAGUCACAUAAUGUUAAGACUAUCCAGUUUUUUGCUGGUGAACGAAAGGAUCGAAGUGAUUUACUCGGCAAGUAGAUCUCGUUCUGACUUUGUUAAGCGUUACGGCAUCAUUCGAAAAAGGUUUUGGCCUUUGAGCCUUAGUAUGUUCGAAAGAGCGUACAUUCUAGGGAGGCUUAGUACCCGAACCAAGAGAUGCUUCACUUAACCAAGCUUCAUAACCACGUCACAGACAUAGAGCAUGCUCAAUAUGGCCUCCAGACCACUGCGCCUGUUUGAGGACGGAUAGUCGUUGCCAACCGUCUCGUUCUAUACAAUAGCAACGAUAACAACGGCAAGCACGCGACGUGGAGACAAUACAAAGGUUUGUGCCUAUAAAUGACACUAGAGAAG